rnacentral:rRNA from 1 species
GAAGGAGCGAGCGUUAUUCGGAAUUACUGGGGCGUAAAGGGGCGCGUAGGCGGUCCGUUAAGUCAGUUGUUAAAGACCAUGGCUUACCCAUGGGAAAAGCAAUUGAUACUGGCAGACUAAGAGGACAAGAGAGAGAAGUGGAAUUCUCGGAGUAGCGGUAAAAUGCGUAGAUCUCGAGAGGAACACCGAUGGCGAAGGCAGCUUCUUGGCUUGUACCUGACGCUGAGGCGCGAAAGCGUGGGGAGCAAACAGGAUUAGAUACCCUGGUAGUCCACGCCGUAAACGAUGAUCACUAGAUGUUGGCUUCGCAUGGCGAUGUCAGUGUCAAAGCUAACGCGUUAAGUGAUCCGCCUGGGGAGUACGGUCGCAAGAUUA